rfam:Picea glauca, whole genome shotgun sequence.
UAAAACAUAGCAUUACUGCAGUGGAUCCCAUUAGAACUCCGCAGUUAAGCAUUCUCUGGCUAGAGUAGUACUGGGAUGGGUGAUCGCCCAGGAAUUCCUAGUGUUUUAC